GCCUCCCUCGCCGCCAUCAGACUCCUACGGGGGCAGCAGUAGGAAUAUUGGUCAAUGGACGCAAGUCUGAACCAGCCAUGCCGCGUGGAGGAUGAAGGCCCUCUGGGUUGUAAACGUUCUUUUAAUCUUGGGAAGAAACCCUAUCGUUUUCUAAGGUUGGUUGACGGUACCAGUUGAAUAAUCACCGGCUAACUCCGUGCCAGCCGCCGCGGUAAUC
rnacentral:rRNA from 1 species